rnacentral:rRNA from 1 species
UGACGUAGAUGCUAGUCUCUAAGAUUAAGCCAUGCAUGUUUAUGUAAUAAGGACGAACAGCUCAGUAGAACUACGAUGAUUUAGUCUGUUUGAUAAAGAUAACUACGUGAAAAUGUAGCUAAGAGAGAACAGAAUAAGACGUAGGACUAUCAGUUAGUUGGUAGUGUAAUGGACUACCAAGACGAUGACGGGUAACGGGGAAUCAGGGUUUGAUACCGGAGAGGGAGCCUGAGAGAUAGCUCCCACGUCCAUGGACGGCAGCAGGCGCGAAAAUUGCCCACUCUUUGUAGGAGGCAGUUAUGAGACGUGAAAGUGAUUAUUCAGUAAAGAUGAAUAGGAGAAUUGGAGGGCAAGUUUGGUGCCAGCCGCCGCGGUAAUACCGACUCCAAGAGUGUGUAUGAGAGAUGCUGCAGUUAAAAGGUCCGUAGUCAUAGAAAGAUAAAUAGAGAUGAGAAGUCUCUUAAGUCAGUGUUAGAGAAGCCGAUGGGGAACAUAGUAUACCAGGGCGAGAGAUGAAAUGCCAAGACCCCUGGUGGACUGAGCGAGGCGAAAGCGAUGUUCUAGUAGGGAUUUGAUGAUCAAGGACGAAGGCUGGAGUAUCGAAAGUGAU